rnacentral:lncRNA from 1 species
GUGGCCAGGGAGCCGCAGGCAAGGGACUAAGGGGAGGGGGGCUCAGUGCCAGCUGCUUAAAAAUGCCCCUGUGGCAGCGAGGGGCACCAGAGGCUGGGUCUAAUUAGUUGAGAAGCAGUGACACCCCCAACCACUCCCCAAACAGGCUGGCUCCCGUCUCCAGGCCCCAAGGAGCCACACCUGGACCAGACCCCAGGAAAGACAUGUGGUGGAAACCCUACGGCCCUGGAGCCCAAGGAGAGCAACGGCUGUAACAAGUGCACAGGCAAGGGCGCUAGCUGGUGGGAGCCACCCCGCCAUGCUGAUGUCAGAGAAGCAAGAACUCUGGAGAAGCAGCCUCCUGGGACCAGAGGAGGGCCAGCAGCAGGCAGCCCGGAGACAGAACUCUCACCCACGCCUCUCCAAGCCUCCCAACAGAAGACAGAGGUCCCCCACAGCCAGAGACAUUUCCUGAAGACAUGGGGAACACAGAGGCAGAAACAGCCCAUCCACCCAGGAGCUGUCCCCCACACUGCCGGGAGCCGGCACCCAGAGCCGCCAGGUAAAACUGAGGCCACCUGGUUCAACAUCACCUUUCACAGAAGGGGAAGCAGCCACAGAAAGAAGGGCCUCGUUAAGAAGUGGAACCUGGGACCCCCAAGCGGUGUCUCUCAUCCUGACUGGGGAUCCAGAGUAGGAGGGAGCCUUUGGUGGGGUAAGUGGAAUGGGGCGGGGUGGGGGGUGGCCAUAGACCCCUCUUCUCAGUAAGGCCCUCAUGUGAAGGAGGCAGGGGUUGGGACAAGUGCUAAGUAUGCAAGACUCAAGGGAAGAGCUGCUGGAGCCAGGAGAAGCACCUCCCUCCCGGCCCCUCUGCCCCUCCUCAUAGCCCAGCUGCACUGACUCCUCCUCCAGGAAGCCUUCUCAGCUUCCCCAGGGGUGGGAACCUUUUUGUCCUCCAGGUGUGCUUGGCUGUCCUUUCUUGGGCUCUCUCUCUCUCUCUCUCCUCAUCCCACUUGAGUCUGCCCCCUAUUCACCUUGUGAGGGGAAUUUUCCUUCUACUCAAUCUGACCGAGGUCCUCCAGGUCAAGGACAGCGAGGCUCUCAGUCCCACUUCCCCUUGGCACAUAGAAGAGGCAGUGCGCUGAAGGGACAGGUGAAAUGAUUAGACCCUGCCCCCAAACCAAGGCCUGGCCAAUUGGACAGGGCAUGAGACAUUCAGCGUAGAGGUUAAAACGAGGGCCCUGGGUUAGGAACCCCAGCUCAGUUCUCAGCUCUGUACCCUUGGAAAAUUCCCUUCCCAUGGAGCUUUGUGGAUGCACAAGGACUUGCACAAAGAAAACAUUCAAUAUCCAGGACUAUAAAAUUCCACAAAUGAUUGUGCUUAUUACAUUCAUUAUCACGAUGAUUAUUCCAGACACAAAGGAACAGAACGAGGCACCAACAGCAAGGGGCAAGCAGAUUCAAGGGCCACAGAGGAGAUGGAGGCAAACACCUUCCCCUGGUCAGAGGCUGUGCCUCAGCCCUUCUCCCUGCAUCAGUUUCUCCUUCAGAAGCAUGGGACUACCUCCCAUCUAGUUCUCGUUUCUAAACCUAGGGGAGAUGCUAUCUUUGCUGCAAUAAUCUUAGCCUACAUCUUGGAAUGGAAAUGGCCUUGGUGGAAAUGGUCUUCAACUCCUCUGGUCCAAGCUCAGGCCCUGUGACCCUGGAACAAUCCCCUUCCUGGUCCUCCAUGUAGGAGCAAUAACAUUCCCUUGCCAGCAGCACCAGCCAUUCUGAUGAUUAAAUGGUAUCGGACUCUGUUUUCCAAACUCAGUCAUUCAGAUGCCCCCUAUUUUAUUUCUUCCAUGUCUGCAAAUGAUUAUAAUAUUUUUAAAUGUAGGAUGAGUCCUUUUUAUUACACAUAGAAAUAGCUACUGUAAAUAGCAAACUCUAACACUGUGCCUAAUUAGGAAAUAAAGGUAACCAUAAAUACAGUAAAAAUGAAACAAUGUUAUUAUGGUUUAACCUGAUAGUGUGGCUUGCAAGGCCCUGGGCCUGAAGCCUGGGCAAUAAGUGAGAGUUAGAAAGGUGUCAAAGACAUGAUAGCAGCAAACUGAGGCUUUGUACCCCACGGUAAAUAGGACUGAAAGCAAAUUCACAGGGAGCAACUGAUCCAUUCCACAACAGAAUGCUCCCUGUCAAUUCGCUUUCCAUUCUGUUGUGUCCUGUCUCCCAGCAGAGACUACAAACUCCCCAAAACCACUUACCCACCAGCUGCACGUGAGAAGCCAAAGGUAGUUUAUGUGAAAGGGCUUUGGAAAUAAUCACGCACCAAGUGAAGGCAGAGGACACACCUUGUCAGCUUAGUUCUCAGCAGCAAAUCAUCUCUUUUCCAGGAUAACCCUCCCUGAUUCUUAUUGAAAUCUCUUUGCUGACCACACUAAGCUCUUCUCUCUCAGGGGCAGUGGGAGCCGUGGAGAGUGGAAUAGACCAGCUGUCUGUGACCUGCGAGGGAGUCCAAUGUCGGAAUCACUCCCCAGCCAAAUGCACGGUUUUAAAAAAUCUAUUUAUUUAUUUAUGUAGAGACCAGGCUAUGAGACUGGCUAAUUUUUCGUAUUUUUGGAUAGAGACAGGAUUUCAUCGUGUUGCCCAGGCUGGUCUUGAACUCCUGGGCUCAAGCGAUCCACCUGCCUCGGCUUCCCAAAGUGCUCAGGAUUACAGGCGUGAGCCACUGUGCCCAGCCACCAAAUGCAGUUGAAAAGAGUUUCUGCAAGAUAAUUCCACAGAAGAGGAAAGCAGUUAUCUGGCUGGGAAUACCUUAGACAGAGGCUGUCCUCUACACAGGCUGUCAGAACUGACCUACUGACCUGCCUGCUGGCAUGAUAGACCAGAGGGAAACACUCUUUCCACUCUUCCCAGACUGAGUGUAAGAGACAGACUUUUUUUUUUUUUUUUGAGACGGAGUCUCACUCUGUCACCCAGGCUGGAGUGCAAUGGCAAGAUCUCGGCUCACUGCAACCUCCACCUCCCCGGGUUCAAACCAUUCUCCUGCCUCAGCCUCCCAGGUAGCUGGGAUUACAGGCUCCCGCCACCACGCCUGGCUAAUUUUUGUAUUUUUAGUAGAGACAGGGUUUCACCAUGUUGGCCGGGCUGGUCUCGAACUCCCAACCUCAGGUGAUCCGCCUACCUUGGCCUCCCAAAGGGUUGGGAUUACAGGUGUAAGCCACUGCUCCCAGCCUUUUUUUUUUUUUUUAUUAGAGACAAGGGCUCCCCAUGUUGCCCAGGCUGAUCUUGAACUCUAGGCUCAAGCGAUCCUCCUGCCUGAGCCUCCCAAAGUGCUAGGAUUACAGGCAUGAGCACUGCUCCCAGCUCUGUUUUUGUUUUUUUAAGGAGGUAUAUUUUUUCUGUUCUCUCUCAGCCCUGAAGAAAGGCUACCCAUCCCCUUCAGACAUUCCUGAAAAUAUAUGUCAUCCAACAUCAAGGCCACCACAGUGACCACUAAGCAAUGCAAGAAGGUCCUCUGGGGUGCCCUGAGAUCUUGGCAGGGCAGGAAGAGUGAGAAGGGGCUUUGCCUGCUCACCUGAAAGUUCCCACCCAAGCCGGGCCCAGAAAACAAAAUGAAUUAUCUACAUGGUCAUCCAAUCAGCCACCAAAUGGCAUUACCUAGGUCCAUCAUCAUGUACCAAGCCACAGGUCAGACCCAGGGCCCCCCAAAUUAACAAGACACAGGCACUGUCCUCAGGAAGUGGAGAUCUAGCCAGGUCAGACCCACACACAAAUAACACUGAUACUAGAGAUAAUGAGAUUGGGAAUUAUGAUUCAGCCAUUCAACCUGGGCUUAUGUGGCAUCUACACCACCUGGCCCUGAUUUCAGUAGUGAGCACAGUUGACAGGGUCCCUUCCCUUCACAGGUGAGCCAUGUAGUCCACAAGUGGAGGUGGUCGUAAGUGAAAACCACAUUACCAGCAUGGUAAAGGGUUAGAAAGAGGGCACCGGGUGGGCGAGAACAUGAAGCAGGGGGUGCUGAUGGCUAAAGAAGUAAAGGAGGGGCUGGGCACUGUGGUUCAUGCCUAUAAUCCCAGCACUUUGGGAGACCAAGGCGGGUGGAUCACCUGAGGUCAGGAGUUCUAGACCAGCCUGGGCAACGUGGUGAAACCCUGUCUCUACUAAAAAUACAAAAAUUAGCCAGGCAUGGUGGUGCACGCCUGUAGUCCCAGCUACUUGGGAGGCUGGGGCAUGAGAAUUGCUUUAACCCGGAAGGUGGAGUUUGCAGUGAGCCGAGAUCGUGUCACUGCACUCCAGCCUGGGCGACAGAGGGAGACUCUGUCUCAAAAAAAAAAAAAAGUCAAGGAGGGUUUCCCAGAGUGGCCACUUGAUUAGAGACCUAGCACAGGAGGAAGAGAUGGGCAGGGAGAGUGACGGGGAGCAGCACAGUCCCUGGGAGCCCGAAGUGGGUGGGCACAGGGCUCCCUAGGAGAAUGGAAGGACAUCUAUGAGCUGUAGCCCAAGAGGAAGAGGUCACUGGGGCUAGAUGCGGCAGACCCUCGCAGGCUUUGGGAAGGGCUUCAGAAUUCAGCCUGAGGGCAAUGGGGAGCCCUUUUGGGAUAUUAAACUUGAGUAAGAUAUGAGCAUAUUUGCAUCUUGAAAAAUCAUUAUGGGAAGAUGGCUGGGAAGAGAGGAGGAGUGGCAGAAGAAAGAUAGGUUGGAGACAAUUGAUUGCUCGAUGAUAUAAAAUGUUAAGUACCAUGAAUGAUGCUGUUAGGCUGGAAUGCGCCAAGCAUAAAGGUGGGGCAUGGCAUCAAAAGGUAGGUCAACAUAUUAAAUAAUUCCAUGUAUUGAAAUAUCCAGAAAAUAUAUAGACAGAUCUAUAGAGAUAGAAACUGGUCUGCCCAGGACUAGGGGUUGUCUAAGGAUAAGGAGCUUCUUUUUUGGAUGGUGAAAUAACCUAAAAUAUAUUGUGCCAUUGUUUGCACAACUUUGUGAAUAUAUUAAAAACCUGUUAAUUGUACUCACUAAAUGUCCUCCUUCUAAAUUAAGCUGUUCUUGACAAGAAAAGGAAAGAAACAAAGAAAAGAAGAGAAAAAAGGUCAAGGUUUGGUCCUGGGUGCUCAAAUGGCAGGCCACAGACAGGAAACACAGUUGUGAGGAAUUACAACAGCCUCCCGGCCAGAGCUGGAGAGGUGGAGCCCAGGUCCCCUCUAACACCCCUUCUCCUGGCCAGGUUGGAGUCCCGCCACAGGCCACCAGAGCGGAGCAGCGCAGCGCCCUGUCUCCCAGCCUGAGGUGCAGUGCUGCAUCUCUGGUCAGUUGGGAGUCUGAGAUGAAGCACUGUAGCUCAGGAAGAGAGAAGUUGUUCUGCAGCCAUCAGCCUGGAAGUGGUAAGUGCUGGGGGGUUGUGGGGGGCCAUAACAGGAAGGACAGAGUGUUUCCAGACUCCAUACUAUCAGCCACUUGUGAUGCUGGGGAAGUUCCUCUACACAAGUUCCCCUGGUGCCACGAUCUGCUUCACGAGUCUGGGCAUGUCCUGACUCCUCUGUGUACCCCAGUGUGUCCAUCUUAGCAUGAGGCGUUAGCAUUUCCCCAGCACCCUGCCUCUGCUUUCUCUUUCUGAGCCCAUGGCAGACACAGCUAAUCAGUAAAGGCAUAUAUUCUUUUUUUUUUGAGACACAGUCUCACUCCAUCACCCAGGCUGGAGUGCAGUGGCAUAAUCUCAGCUCACUGCAACCUCCUCCUCCCAGGGUCAAGCAAUUCUCGUGCCUCAGCCUCCCAAGUAGCUGAGAUUACAGGUGUGCGCCACCACACCUGGCUAAUUUUUGUAUUUUUAGUAGAGAUGGGGUUUCACUAUGUUGGCCAGGCUGGUCUCAAACUCCUGACUUCAGGUGAUCUGCCCGCCUCGGCCUCCCAAAGUGCUGGGAUUACAGGCAUGAGCCUCCACGCCCCGCCAGGCAUCCAUUCUUGAAGUGCUCAGAUGCAGCUUCAGAAUCCUCAACAAUGAGCCCUGGAAAGCCACUAGUACUGAUUCACAGCUGAAACUCAUUCAUCAUUUGUGGAUCAAACAAUUCCUAAAAACCCUUUCAGCCCUGAAGAUAAAAAUUCUGGCCUUUGAGUCAGGGUCUUCACUCUGUACUUCUAACCUUGGCUCCGGGGUAUUGCCGAAACCAGUCCAGGCACGUCACAAAUGUCUGACUUCUCCCAGAGGCUUCAGAAGCACAAUGAGCAGCAGAGGAGAGCCAUGGAGCCAAGCACAGUCUCAUUUAACCUCCCCAAAAGCUUGGGAAGUGGGUGGUGUUAUAGCCCCAUUUUACAGAUGAGAAAAACUGAGGCUUAUUUAAGCAGCUCACCUAAAGUCACAUAUUGAUUGUGCUGAGCUGAGAUUGUACCCUAAUCUGCCUUCAAAUCCAUGUUUUUACCCAUUGCAUGUGAUUAUGGAACCUGGGACCGAGGAGCAGGAGGAGAACAUUCUAAAUUCUGCUCCCAUCUUGUCUUUACAUCUCAGGUCACUUUUAGCAAAGACAGACCCGGACACUUGCCAUUAAUACUACAGGCUUCCUUCCUCCUACCCCCUUCCCCCAAUCUUAUUCAUCUCACCUCUCCAGUAGGUCGUGGACUCAUGCAUUUUAUAAUUAAAGAAGGCCAAGGCUCAGGGGUUAAGUGACUUACUGGAGGUUAUCAGAGAGGAAGUUGCCAAACCCAGGCUAGGAACUGAAUGGUUGGUUUAAAUCCACCCCUCUGGCAGGAGACUGGGGAAUACACAUGAGCCGUGCAGACAGCAGAGGGCAGUCCUGGGGGUGGGGGCGCCAGAGGGUUUCCGGUACUUUUCAGGGCAAUUGAAGUUCCGGUCACUACUCCCCCCCAGAGCAAUAAGCCACAUCCGGCGACGUGUGGCACCCCACCCUGGCUGCUACAGAUGGGGCUGGAUGCAGAAGAGAACUCCAGCUGGUCCUUAGGGACACGGCGGCCUUGGCG